rnacentral:tRNA from 1 species
GGAGAUGUACUCAAGAGGCUGAAGAGGUGCCCCUGCUAAGGGCAUAGGUCGGGUUCUCCGGCGCGGGAGUUCAAAUCUCCCCAUCUCCGCCA